UAUUAGAAUAGUAUCCCAAGUUUUUCCUAUAAAUAGCCCUUCCAAAACUCAUCUUGAAAUCACAAAAACCUCAUUUCCUUUCUCUUACUCUACCCAAAAAUAUUCUUAACAUCCUUCUAAAGUUCUAAACCUCGGAGAUCUAGGCGAAGUUCUGUCCAUAACGCUAGCCUACGAAAACCUUUUAGGAAGCUAACAAUUUCGAUUGUUUUAUCAAGACGCAAGAUAAGUAGAAUCCUCAUCUACAAUACAAGUCUUUUAUGUGUCUUAUGUGCAUUUAUAUGCUUUAUAUGUUAUCCUGCCAUGUUCUUAUGCAUAAGUUAUUUUCAAGAAUGUUAUAAUUAUUAUGCAUAAGCAUGCUUAAUGUUCACAGACAAGUUACUGAAAGCGUUAAAGUAGAGGUGCUGCUUGGGAGACCUAAGUCCCAAAUAAGUAAGGAGGGAGAUGUACGUCCCUAUAUAAUGAAUGUUUAUGAGGGAGAAAUUCCCUAUUAUCAUGUUAUGUUCAGGUGGGAAUGUGAUUCCCUAUGUAAUGCCGGCAGCAGCAUCCUCUAGGGCCCAAAAGAAAGGAAAGUGAAAGAAAGAAAAUACAUAGCAUGUUGCAUGUUUAUUUUAAUGCAUAUGAGGUAGUUAUUCUACUUACUGAGCCUUAGCUCAUCAGAUAAUGUUUUGUAUUGUAGGUAAGAGACCCCAAAUAUAAAUUGUUGAUGAGUAUACGUGGAGCCAACAUGACUGUACAUAUGGGGCUGACCUGAAGGGAGUGGAGUUCUGCUAUGCUAUUUUAUAAAUAAACAAGAAACUUGGUUUUAUUAUAUUUCAUUAAAAGUAUUUUGUGAACUUUAUCAUUUACUUAAAGCUUUAAAAGUAUUUCAUGAA